rnacentral:rRNA from 1 species
UACGGGGGGGGCAAGCGUUGUUCGGAAUUACUGGGCGUAAAGGGCUCGUAGGCGGCCAACUAAGUCGAACGUGAAAUCCCCGGGCUCAACCCGGGAACUGCGUCCGAUACUGGCGGGCUCGAAUUCGGGAGAGGGAUGUGGAAUUCCAGGUGUAGCGGUGAAAUGCGUAGAUAUCUGGAGGAACACCGGUGGCGAAGGCGGCAUCCUGGACCGAUAUUGACGCUGAUGCGCGAAAGCCAGGGGAGCAAACGGG